rnacentral:rRNA from 1 species
CCUACGGGAGGCAGCAGUGGGGAAUAUUGGGCAAUGGGCGCAAGCCUGACCCAGCAACGCCGCGUGAAGGAAGAAGGCUUUCGGGUUGUAAACUUCUGUUGUAAGGGACGAAGCAAGUGACGGUACCUGACGAAUAAGCCAUGGCUAACUACGUGCCAGCAGCCGCGGUAAUACGUAGGUGGCAAGCGUUAUACGGAUUUAGUGGGUGUAAAGGGCGGGUAGGCGGGAAUGCAAGUCAGAUGUGAAAACUAUGGGGUCAACCCAUAGAACGCAUUUGAAACUGUAUUUCUUGAGUGCUGGAGAGGCAAGCGGAAUUCCGUGUGUAGCGGUGAAAUGCGUAGAUAUACGGAGGAACACCAGUGGCGAAGGCGGAUUGCUGGACAGUAACUGACGCUGAGGCGCGAAAGCGUGGGGAGCAAACAGGAUUAGAUACCCCAGUAGUC